UACGGGGGGGGCAAGCGUUGUUCGGAAUUACUGGGCGUAAAGGGCUCGUAGGUGGCCAACUAAGUCAUACGUGAAAUCCCUCGGCUUAACCGGGGAACUGCGUCUGAUACUGGAUGGCUUGAGGUUGGGAGAGGGAUGCGGAAUUCCGGGUGUAGCGGUGAAAUGCGUAGAUAUCUGGAGGAACACCGGUGGCGAAGGCGGCAUCCUGGACCAAUUCUGACACUGAGGAGCGAAAGCCAGGGGAGCAAACGGG
rnacentral:rRNA from 1 species